rnacentral:rRNA from 1 species
UUGUACCGACUGGAUGAGCAGCGAACGGGUGAGUAACGCGUGGGGAAUCUGCCUUUGAGCGGGGGACAACAUUUGGAAACGAAUGCUAAUACCGCAUAAAAGCUUUAAACACAAGUUUUAAGUUUGAAAGAUGCAAUUGCAUCACUCAAAGAUGAUCCCGCGUUGUAUUAGCUAUUUGGUGAGGUAAAGGCUCACCAAGGCGAUGAUACAUAGCCGACCUGACAGGGUGAUCGGCCACAUUGGGACUGAGACACGGCCCAAACUCCUACGGGAGGCAGCAGUAGGGAAUCUUCGGCAAUGGACGAAAGUCUGACCGAGCAACGCCGCGUGAGUGAAGAAGGUUUUCGGAUCGUAAAACUCUGUUGGUAGAGAAGAACGUUGGUGAGAGUGGAAAGCUCAUCAAGUGACGGUAACUACCCAUAAAGGGACGGCUAACUACGUGCCACCAGCCGCGGUAAUACGUAAGUCCCGAGCGUUGUCCGGAUUUAUUGGGCGUAAAGCGAGCGCAGGUGGUUUAUUAAGUCUGGUGUAAAAGGCAGUGGCUCAACCAUUGUAUGCAUUGGAAACUGGUAGACUUGAGUGCAGGAGAGGAGAGUGGAAUUCCAUGUGUAGCAAUGGGGACAAAAGAAACUCCAU